AGAUUAAGUUAUUAAGGGCGCACGGUGGAUGCCUUGGCACUAGAAGCCGAUGAAGGACGUUACUAACGACGAUAUGCUUUGGGGAGCUGUAAGUAAGCUUUGAUCCAGAGAUUUCCGAAUGGGGAAACCCAACAUGAGUUAUGUCAUGUUAUCGAUAUGUGAAUACAUAGCAUAUCAGAAGGCACACCCGGAGAACUGAAACAUCUUAGUACCCGGAGGAAGAGAAAGAAAAUUCGAUUCCCUUAGUAGCGGCGAGCGAAACGGGAAGAGCCCAAACCAACAAGCUUGCUUGUUGGGGUUGUAGGACACUCUAUACGGAGUUACAAAGGACGACAUUAGACGAAUCAUCUGGAAAGAUGAAUCAAAGAAGGUAAUAAUCCUGUAGUCGAAAAUGUUGUCUCUCUUGAGUGGAUCCUGAGUACGACGGAGCACGUGAAAUUCCGUCGGAAUCUGGGAGGACCAUCUCCUAAGGCUAAAUACUCUCUAGUGACCGAUAGUGAACCAGUACCGUGAGGGAAAGGUGAAAAGCACCCCGGAAGGGGAGUGAAAUAGAACCUGAAACCGUGUGCUUACAAGUAGUCAGAGCCCGUUAAUGGGUGAUGGCGUGCCUUUUGUAGAAUGAACCGGCGAGUUACGAUUUGAUGCAAGGUUAAGCAGUAAAUGUGGAGCCGUAGCGAAAGCGAGUCUGAAUAGGGCGUUUAGUAUUUGGUCGUAGACCCGAAACCAGGUGAUCUACCCUUGGUCAGGUUGAAGUUCAGGUAACACUGAAUGGAGGACCGAACCGACUUACGUUGAAAAGUGAGCGGAUGAACUGAGGGUAGCGGAGAAAUUCCAAUCGAACCUGGAGAUAGCUGGUUCUCUCCGAAAUAGCUUUAGGGCUAGCCUCAAGUGAUGAUUAUUGGAGGUAGAGCACUGUUUGGACGAGGGGCCCCUCUCGGGUUACCGAAUUCAGACAAACUCCGAAUGCCAAUUAAUUUAACUUGGGAGUCAGAACAUGGGUGAUAAGGUCCGUGUUCGAAAGGGAAACAGCCCAGACCACCAGCUAAGGUCCCAAAAUAUAUGUUAAGUGGAAAAGGAUGUGGCGUUGCCCAGACAACUAGGAUGUUGGCUUAGAAGCAGCCAUCAUUUAAAGAGUGCGUAAUAGCUCACUAGUCGAGUGACACUGCGCCGAAAAUGUACCGGGGCUAAACAUAUUACCGAAGCUGUGGAUUGUCCUUUGGACAAUGGUAGGAGAGCGUUCUAAGGGCGUUGAAGCAUGAUCGCAAGGACAUGUGGAGCGCUUAGAAGUGAGAAUGCCGGUGUGAGUAGCGAAAGACGGGUGAGAAUCCCGUCCACCGAUUGACUAAGGUUUCCAGAGGAAGGCUCGUCCGCUCUGGGUUAGUCGGGUCCUAAGCUGAGGCCGACAGGCGUAGGCGAUGGAUAACAGGUUGAUAUUCCUGUACCACCUAUAAUCGUUUUAAUCGAUGGGGGGACGCAGUAGGAUAGGCGAAGCGUGCGAUUGGAUUGCACGUCUAAGCAGUAAGGCUGAGUAUUAGGCAAAUCCGGUACUCAUUAAGGCUGAGCUGUGAUGGGGAGAAGACAUUGUGUCUUCGAGUCGUUGAUUUCACACUGCCGAGAAAAGCCUCUAGAUAGAAAAUAGGUGCCCGUACCGCAAACCGACACAGGUAGUCAAGAUGAGAAUUCUAAGGUGAGCGAGCGAACUCUCGUUAAGGAACUCGGCAAAAUGACCCCGUAACUUCGGGAGAAGGGGUGCUCUUUAGGGUUAACGCCCAGAAGAGCCGCAGUGAAUAGGCCCAAGCGACUGUUUAUCAAAAACACAGGUCUCUGCUAAACCGUAAGGUGAUGUAUAGGGGCUGACGCCUGCCCGGUGCUGGAAGGUUAAGAGGAGUGGUUAGCUUCUGCGAAGCUACGAAUCGAAGCCCCAGUAAACGGCGGCCGUAACUAUAACGGUCCUAAGGUAGCGAAAUUCCUUGUCGGGUAAGUUCCGACCCGCACGAAAGGCGUAACGAUUUGGGCACUGUCUCAACGAGAGACUCGGUGAAAUCAUAGUACCUGUGAAGAUGCAGGUUACCCGCGACAGGACGGAAAGACCCCGUGGAGCUUUACUGUAGCCUGAUAUUGAAAUUCGGCACAGCUUGUACAGGAUAGGUAGGAGCCUUUGAAACGUGAGCGCUAGCUUACGUGGAGGCGCUGGUGGGAUACUACCCUAGCUGUGUUGGCUUUCUAACCCGCACCACUUAUCGUGGUGGGAGACAGUGUCAGGCGGGCAGUUUGACUGGGGCGGUCGCCUCCUAAAAGGUAACGGAGGCGCUCAAAGGUUCCCUCAGAAUGGUUGGAAAUCAUUCAUAGAGUGUAAAGGCAUAAGGGAGCUUGACUGCGAGACCUACAAGUCGAGCAGGGUCGAAAGACGGACUUAGUGAUCCGGUGGUUCCGCAUGGAAGGGCCAUCGCUCAACGGAUAAAAGCUACCCCGGGGAUAACAGGCUUAUCUCCCCCAAGAGUUCACAUCGACGGGGAGGUUUGGCACCUCGAUGUCGGCUCAUCGCAUCCUGGGGCUGUAGUCGGUCCCAAGGGUUGGGCUGUUCGCCCAUUAAAGCGGUACGCGAGCUGGGUUCAGAACGUCGUGAGACAGUUCGGUCCCUAUCCGUCGUGGGCGUAGGAAAUUUGAGAGGAGCUGUCCUUAGUACGAGAGGACCGGGAUGGACAUACCUCUGGUGUACCAGUUGUCGUGCCAACGGCAUAGCUGGGUAGCUAUGUGUGGACGGGAUAAGUGCUGAAAGCAUCUAAGCAUGAAGCCCCCCUCAAGAUGAGAUUUCCCAACUUCGGUUAUAAGAUCCCUCAAAGAUGAUGAGGUUAAUAGGUUCGAGGUGGAAGCAUGGUGACAUGUGGAGCUGACGAAUACUAAUCGAUCGAAGACUUAAUCAAA
rnacentral:rRNA from 1 species